AGGUGCUUGACCGGCUGCGCCGCCCAACCCUGGUGGUCAAUGCACUCGACGACCCGUUUCUG
rnacentral:tRNA from 1 species